rnacentral:rRNA from 1 species
AGUGAACGCUGGCGGUAGGCCUAACACAUGCAAGUCGAACGGCAGCACAGGAGAGCUUGCUCUCUGGGUGGCGAGUGGCGGACGGGUGAGGAAUACAUCUGAAUCUGCCCAGUCGUGGGGGAUAACGUAGGGAAACUUACGCUAAUACCGCAUACGACCUUCGGGUGAAAGAGGGGGAUCGCAAGACCUCUCGCGAUUGGAUGAGCCGAUGUCGGAUUAGCUAGUUGGCGGGGUAAUGGCCCACCAAGGCGACGAUCCGUAGCUGGUCUGAGAGGAUGAUCAGCCACACUGGAACUGAGACACGGUCCAGACUCCUACGGGAGGCAGCAGUGGGGAAUAUUGGACAAUGGGCGCAAGCCUGAUCCAGCCAUACCGCGUGGGUGAAGAAGGCCUUCGGGUUGUAAAGCCCUUUUGUUGGGAAAGAAAUCUUUCAGGCUAAUACCCUGGGAGGAUGACGGUACCCAAAGAAUAAGCACCGGCUAACUUCGUG